CAGACGAGGAGCUUGCUCCUCUGACGUUAGCGGCGGACGGGUGAGUAACACGUGGAUAACCUACCUAUAAGACUGGGAUAACUUCGGGAAACCGGAGCUAAUACCGGAUAAUAUAUUGAACCGCAUGGUUCAAUAGUGAAAGACGGUUUUGCUGUCACUUAUAGAUGGAUCCGCGCCGCAUUAGCUAGUUGGUAAGGUAACGGCUUACCAAGGCAACGAUGCGUAGCCGACCUGAGAGGGUGAUCGGCCACACUGGAACUGAGACACGGUCCAGACUCCUACGGGAGGCAGCAGUAGGGAAUCUUCCGCAAUGGGCGAAAGCCUGACGGAGCAACGCCGCGUGAGUGAUGAAGGUCUUCGGAUCGUAAAACUCUGUUAUUAUGGGAA
rnacentral:rRNA from 1 species